CAGGAAUUGAACAAGACGGUGUGGGAGGUUCCCCAGCGCUACCAGAACCUGACCCCGGUGGGCUCCGGAGCCUACGGCUCUGUGUGAGCCUGGGAGCCCCUAGUCAUGAGCCAGGACCCCACCGUGCAAGACAAUGUACAAAAUCAGAACAAAAAGAUGGUCCCUGCCUGAAAGAGCAUGGAAUCUAAAUAUGGGACAAGACAGCGGAUGGAUACGGACUUACAGGGUGCACAAGGAAACAAUGAGACUAUGUUGUUCAACUUAUGAUACCAAAACAAGACAGAAGGUGGCAGUAAAAAAGCUUUCAAGACCUUUUCAGUCACUUAUUCAUGCAAGAAGAACCUACCGAGAGCUUAGGUUGCUUAAGCACAUGAAACAUGAAAAUGUUAUAGGAUUACUAGAUGUUUUUACACCAGCAACUUCAAUAGAAAAUUUUAAUGAAGUGUAUCUUGUGACAAAUUUAAUGGGUGCUGACUUGAAUAAUAUUGUAAAGUGCCAGAAGCUAACAGAUGACCAUAUACAGUUUCUCAUCUACCAGUUACUUAGAGGUCUUAAGUAUAUUCACUCAGCUGGAAUCAUUCACCGGGACUUGAAACCCAGUAACCUAGCUGUAAAUGAAGACUGUGAAUUAAGGAUUUUAGACUUUGGUUUAGCCCGACAAACUGAUGAUGAAAUGACUGGAUAUGUAGCAACAAGAUGGUACAGAGCCCCAGAAAUUAUGUUAAACUGGAUGCACUAUAAUCAAACAGUUGACAUUUGGUCAGUGGGAUGCAUCAUGGCAGAGCUAUUGAAAGGCAAGGCUCUUUUUCCAGGAAAUGACUAUAUUGACCAACUAAAGAGAAUAAUGGAAGUUGUGGGAACACCCAGUUCUGAACUUCUCAAGAAAAUAUCAUCGGAACAUGCUAGAAAAUACAUUGAAUCUCUACCACAUAUGCCUCAACAGGAUUUGAAAGCAGUAUUUCGUGGUGCCAACCCUUUAGCUGUAGAUCUUCUUGAGAAGAUGCUUAUAUUAGACAGUGAUAAAAGAAUAACUGCCUCAGAAGCACUCGCACAUGCUUACUUUGUUCAGUAUCAUGAUCCUGACGAUGAGCCUGAGGCCGAACUAUAUGAUGAGUCGAUAGAAAAUAAAGAACGAACCAUAGAUGAAUGGAAAGAGAUUACGUAUGAAGAAAUGAUUAGCUUUAAACCACCUGAUUUAAAAAUGGAUAGCCUGGAAAUAGAACAGUAAAUACAACCAGCUGUGUUUUGCCAUGCUGCACUAUCAAGACUGUUGAAAACAUAGCAUUACAAUUUAACCUAUAUUCCCAAGAGUAGAUUUCACUAUCCAAAGAUGUUGGAGAAGGAAUGGAAGAGCAGUCAAUCCAUGAGAGGCCAACGUAAUAAUUGAGAUGAAAAAACAAAGCAGGGAUAAGACUUAAGAAGAGUCUGGACAUUUGUGAAAAGCAAAAUAUCAUAAUCUCAUUGGAAUUGCAUUUUAAGCAGUAUUUUAAAAGGCCCAAUGUCUCUGAAGAGUUAGACGAACUAAAUUUAAAGCUAAUUCAUAGCAGGAUAUAGCCGAUGCCAAGAUGUCUUAAAGAAUUAACCCUAUAAUCUCAUUUAUCCCUGGAAGUGUAACCAUGAUAAAGGAACAUUAUUAUUAACAUCUUUUGGUCUGAGAUCCUCUGGUUAAUAUAUGGCCAUAUUUGUCUCAUUCUUUAGUGAUUCACAAUUGCAAAACCAGUAGAUGCUGUCCAUUUUUUGUGUAAUUUGUCAUGCCAUGUCUCAUUAUGUCAGUGUCUCAUUUCGGGGGGUUGCUUGUUUUCAUAUUAAUGUUGUUACUUUGUUUUGCUGUGAUGACUUUGUCAUUAGUUUGGCUUGUACAGCUAUUCUAUCAGCUGAUGAAUUUGAACACAUUUGUUUACUUUCUCUGUAUUUUUGCUGUUUGAUCUUGUUUCUUAAUAAACAACUACAAAAAAAG